AAAAGACGAGACGACACUUCGUUUUUUUAGGGUCAAUCAGAAUCUGGUUUACUGGGGAUAACUGCCCGGCUUUUAUGCAGGUCUCCCACCUGGUGGACACUCCCCUAGGGGACCAGAUGGGAGACUGGGACACAAAGGGUACAAGAACCAAUCAGAGACUUACAUAUUUCAACAAUCCCACAAUGCAUCACAAUCCCUCCUCUCUGUCCCUCCAAGGACAGAGGCAAAACUCCAUUACACACAUUUUCAGUAAAAGACAUAAAAUUACAUAAAACAUAUACAUUCUACAUUUCCCCAGAUAGCUUAGAUCUGAGCGCACAUUACUACUGAAUGGUGCUCAGAUCACCUGCAUACAGUUCAAUCGCCAUGGAGCCAAAAGUCUUUCACAUAGUCUUUCGUUACACGAAUAGGCUCCAUGGCUUAGCUAUCUGGGGUGAUGCUGUUCAUCCGGUUAAACUACCGAAUGAACAGUCAUUCAGUUCUGCUACCGAAUGAGAAGGUAAGGAGGCUGGCGGCUCAGCGGUGUUCACGCCAAUAAGUGUCCAUUUUCAGUUCCAUAGUUUGGGCGCUGAACACCGCUGGCCGUUCGGGAGGUAACA